rnacentral:rRNA from 1 species
CCUACGGGAGGCAGCAGUGGGGAAUAUUGCACAAUGGGGGAAACCCUGAUGCAGCGACGCCGCGUGAGCGCAGAAGUAUUUCGGUAUGUAAAGCUCUAUCAGCAGGGAAGAAAAUGACGGUACCUGCGUAAUAAGCUCCGGCUAAAUACGUGCCAGCAGCCGCGGUAAUACGUAUGGAGCAAGCGUUAUCCGGAUUUACUGGGGGUCAAGGGAGCGUAGGCGGCCUGCCAAGUCUGAUGUGAAAUACCGGGGCUCAACCCCGGGGCUGCAUUGGAAACUGGUAGGCGGGAGUGAUGGAGAGGCAGACGGAAUUCGUAGUGUAGCGGUGAAAUGCGUAGAUAUGAGGAGGAACACCAGCGGAGAAGGCGGUCUGCUGG